GUUAGAGUGGCAGAAUGUAUGUGCUGGAUUUAAGCUUCAGUUAUGGUUUAUAGCCCUUUAAUU
rnacentral:tRNA from 1 species